UACGGAGGGUGCAAGCGUUACUCGGAAUCACUGGGCGUAAAGGGAGCGUAGGCGGCCUGCCAAGUCUGAUGUGAAAUACCGGGGCUCAACCCCGGGGCUGCAUUGGAAACUGGCAGGCUGGAGUGCCGGAGAGGCAGGCGGAAUUCCUAGUGUAGCGGUGAAAUGCGUAGAUAUUAGGAGGAACACCAGUGGCGAAGGCGGAUGACUGGACGGCAACUGACGGUGAGGCGCGAAAGCGUGGGGAGCAAACAGG
rnacentral:rRNA from 1 species